rnacentral:rRNA from 1 species
UGGCUCAGGAUGAACGCUGGCGGCGCACAUAAGACAUGCAAGUCGAACGGAAGUCGUUAUAAUCGAAGCUGAAAUGAACAGAGAACUUGUUCGAAGGAAUUUGACGUAGACUUUAUAACAAUGGCUUUAGUGGCGGACUGGUGAGUAACGCGUGAGCAACCUGCCUAUUAGAGGGGAAUAACAGUGAGAAAUCAUUGCUAAUACCGCAUAUGCCAUAGGUACCACAUGGUACUAGUGGGAAAGGAGUAAUUCGCUAAUAGAUGGGCUCGCGUCUGAUUAGAUAGUUGGUGGGGUAACGGCCUACCAAGUCGACGAUCAGUAGCCGGACUGAGAGGUUGAACGGCCACAUUGGGACUGAGAUACGGCCCAGACUCCUACGGGAGGCAGCAGUGGGGAAUA